rnacentral:misc_RNA from 1 species
GUAUAUAUUUUGUUUCUUUCAUACAUUCAACAUUUUAAUGUGAUUAUGAUAAUAAAAAGGGAAAGCUGAACUAAACAUAAAGCACAGCAGUCCCAAUAUGAUGCACAAGUUGGAGAAAUAAUAAAAGGCGUGCACAUGCCUCAAAGGCCAGCAACAACCCAUAUUCAAUAAUGAUCCUUCCGCAGGUUCACCUACGGAAA